GUGACUUUCACAUAGGUAAAACACAGUCCAUCUGUAUUCUUUUUUCCAUCAAAAAUCGAGUGAUUUGGAAUUAUAAAAAAAUUGUGAGCAGCCUAUUUGAAAGGCAUCAUGGAAAUUUCACAGCACAAUAACACGGAUUUGUUUUUUCUUAAUGAUGUAAAUCCGUUUAAUUCAUACUUUGAUCAAUAGCCCAUGCUUGCCAACUCUGAAGAAAUUUAAUUUCCAGCAGUAUUUUAAAGCUAGCCUGUUAACUUUUUCUGAAUAUUUAAAGUUCCUCUUUUUUCUAUGUCUGCACAAACUGCAGACCUGGGCUGGACCCACAUACUCAAGAGUCCACCUUAAGAAAUUAUUUUGAUGUCCAAGACAUCACUAAAAUAUUUAAGUUUAAAGAUAAUAUGUGGUGUUAAUAGAUUGUGGUGCUUUUACUAUUUAA
rnacentral:lncRNA from 1 species